rnacentral:rRNA from 1 species
AUGCAGACAUCUGUAGCAAGAUGCAACGAGUGCGUCGUGUACCAUAAUUGGCACCGCAAAGGUGACUGGAAAAAGCGUUUCGUCAAGAUUGUCACUGGUGAUUUUGUGGAUGUACCAAGAAAGUUUUUAGAAAAUAAUAUCAGAGGGCAGAUACCUGACGAAGUCAAUCUUGAUUUACCUAACGGUAAAACAUAUACCGUUCAGGUUUCGAAGCAAGAGAACGGCCUCAUCUUUCAAUCUGGAUGGGCAGAAUUUGCCAGAACUUAUGAACUCGUACAGGGUGAUAUCUUAUUGUUUGAAUCCAGUGGAAGCUCCUGCUUUGAAGUUCGAAUAUUCAAUCAAACUGGCUGUGAGAAAGAGUUAUCCUGUGUUGCGAUGAAAAACACUGCUUGUAUGGAUAAAAUGCGUUUCUUCAUGGUUAUGAUGGGUGUCAGUGCCUCAAAAAAUGAACUGACCAUACCAAAAGAGUUCUCAAACAAUGUCAGAGGGAAAAUAUCUGACGAAAUAAAGCUGGAAGUGCCAGAUGUACAAGCAUAUAGAGUUCAGGUUGACAAGGAACCGAAUGAAGUAGUCCUUCGAUCUGGAUGGGAUGCAUUUGUUAGUGCCUAUGAACUUAAAGAGGGUGACACAUCGUUGUUUGCGUAUACUGGGAACUCCCACUUAAAAGUUCAAAUCUUCAAUUUAAGUGGUUGUGAUAAAUUGUUAUCGUGCGUCGUGAAGAAUAAUCCUAUGCACUCACCUAGAGAAAGGUCAGUGGCCUUCUCCAAGUCAAUGAACACCAUAUGCAGAUUGGACUGGACCAAAUGA